rnacentral:rRNA from 1 species
GGGGAAUAUUGGGCAAUGGAGGCAACUCUGACCCAGCAACGCCGCGUGAGGGAAGAAGGUUUUCGGAUUGUAAACCUCUGUCCUUGGGGACGAAGAAAGUGACGGUACCCAAGGAGGAAGCCCCGGCUAACUACGUGCCAGCAGCCGCGGUAAUACGUAGGGGGCAAGCGUUGUCCGGAAUUACUGGGCGUAAAGGGUGCGUAGGCGGUUAUUUAAGUCAGAUGUGAAAUCCCCGGGCUUAACUCGGGUGGUGCAUUUGAAACUGGGUAACUAGAGUGCAGGAGAGGGAAGCGGAAUUCCUAGUGUAGCGGUGAAAUGCGUAGAUAUUAGGAGGAACACCAGUGGCGAAGGCGGCUUUCUGGACUGUAACUGACGCUGAGGCACGAAAGCGUGGGGAGCAAAC